rnacentral:misc_RNA from 1 species
UCCGAGUUGACCCCGGCAGUCUCCCAUGAGUUCCCGCCACUACUCGCUGGCAACUAACAACAGGGGUUGCGCUCGUUAUAGGACUUAACCUGACACCUCACGGCACGAGCUGACGACAACCAUGCAGCACCUUGUAAUCUGUCCGAAGAAAAGCCUGUUUCCAAGCCUGUCAGACUACAUUUAAGCCUUGGUAAGGUUCCUCGCGUAUCAUCGAAUUAAACCACAUGCACCACCGCUUGUGCGGGCCCCCGUCAAUUCCUUUGAGUUUCAACCUUGCGGCCGUACUCCCCAGGCGGGGAACUUACUCCGUUAGGUGCGGCACCGGCGGUAACCCGCCGACACUUAGUUCCCAUCGUUUAGGGCGUAGACUAC